rnacentral:rRNA from 1 species
UACGAAGGGGGCUAGCGUUGCUCGGAAUCACUGGGCGUAAAGGGUGCGUAGGCGGGUCUUUAAGUCAGAGGUGAAAUCCUGGAGCUCAACUCCAGAACUGCCUUUGAUACUGAGGAUCUUGAGUUCGGGGAGAGGUGAGUGGAACUGCGAGUGUAGAGGUGAAAUUCGUAGAUAUUCGCAAGAACACCAGUGGCGAAGGCGGCUCACUGGCCCGAUACUGACGCUGAGGCACGAAAGCGUGGGGAGCAAACAGG